rnacentral:rRNA from 1 species
AAUGAACGUUGGCGGCGUGGAUUAGGCAUGCAAGUCGUGCGCGAUAAGUUUGGUGCUUGCAUUAAACUUUGAAAGCGGCGAAAGGGAGAGUAACGCGUGGAUCAUCUACCCUCGGGUCUGGAAUAGCUGCGGGAAACUGCAGGUAAUACCGGAUGAUGUCCCUGGACCAAAGGUGCAAUUCCGCCUGAGGAUGAGUCCGCGUCCUAUUAGCUAGUUGGUGGGGUAAUGGCCCACCAAGGCAACGAGUGGGUACCGGGUGUGAGAGCAGUCGGCCCGGCUCACGUGGGACUGAGACACUCGCCCAGACACCGUACGGGUGGCUGCAGUCGAGAAUCUUCCGACAAGUGGAACGAAAGUCUGACGGAGCGACGCCGCGUGGC